ensembl:misc_RNA Metazoa_SRP Metazoan signal recognition particle RNA
GCUGGGCGCGGUGGCUCACGCCUGUAAUCCCAGCACUUUGGGAGGCUGGGGCGGGUGGAUCACCUGAGGUCAGGAGUGUGAGUCCAGCCUGGCCAACAUGGUGAAACCCCGUCUCUU